UACGGAGGAUCCAAGCGUUAUCCGGAAUCAUUGGGUUUAAAGGGUCCGUAGGCGGUUUGGUAAGUCAGUGGUGAAAGCCCAUCGCUCAACGGUGGAACGGCCAUUGAUACUGCCAGACUUGAAUUAUUAGGAAGUAACUAGAAUAUGUAGUGUAGCGGUGAAAUGCUUAGAGAUUACAUAGAAUACCAAUUGCGAAGGCAGGUUACUACUAAUGGAUUGACGCUGAUGGACGAAAGCGUGGGUAGCGAACAGG
rnacentral:rRNA from 1 species